rnacentral:rRNA from 1 species
GACGAACGCUGGCGGCGUGCUUAAUACAUGCAAGUCGAGCGAGGUUACUGUUUUGGAUCCCUUCGGGGUGAAGAAGCUUUAACCUAGCGGCGGACGGGUGAGUAACGCGUGGGUAACCUACCCCAAAGUACCGGGAUAACAGCGGGAAACCGGCUGCUAAUACCGGAUGUCUUUACCUUGGGGCGAUCUUGAGGUAAAGAAAGGCAACGCUUUGGGAUGGACCCGCGUCCCAUUAGCUAGUUGGUGAGGUAACGGCUCACCAAGGCGACGAUGGGUAGCCGGCCUGAGAGGGUGGACGGCCACACUGGGACUGAGACACGGCCCAGACUCCUACGGGAGGCAGCAGUAGGGAAUAUUGCGCAAUGGACGGAAGUCUGACGCAGCGACGCCGCGUGAGCGAUGAAGGUCUUCGGAUCGUAAAGCUCUGUCCUUGGGGAAGAAGGCGAAAGCUUGACGGUACCCAAGAAGAAAGCCCCGGCUAACUACGUG